CCCCCAUCAAUGAUGCAAUGUUGAGGGGCAGCACACUCUUGUGCAGGCCCCCCUGUUCAACACCUCACAGGGAGUUGUCAUAUACCUGCGACUGAGACUUUCCUUUAGUCUACAGGCUUCUGGGGACACUGUCUGUUCAAGAGUAAAGUGAUUUGUUUAUGGAAGAAAAGAAAAAAAGUCAGAUCUGUUCAUCAGAAAAGACAAAAAAGAAGAAUUUUUUCUGCAUUAAGUUUCUUGUGUUUUACUAGAGCUUACCUGAUGGAGUAAGGGUGAUGAAUACAUCAGUCACUGAAAGGAGGUAGAGCGCUGCCCUUUCUCUUGCUGCCUACUGUUUCUAACCCAUCCCCCCGCCCCUGAAGCACAGUCCUCCCUGCUUUUUCUAUACCUUCAGAUUGAUUGUUGAAGGGAAAAGACAAAUGGAGUUUGUUCAACCAAUUACUUUAACUUUAUAUACAACUCAAACCCAUAGACGUUUGGAUGAGGAUCUCUCAAGGAUUUCCCCGUAGAAUGAAGAGCACAAGUUAACCUUUAACAACCAUCAGAAACUCUUGGGAGGAGUUAACAACAAAAACAAAAAGUCCUCAUGCUUGUCUCCUGCUCCCCAUUCUGGAGACGCCAUGCUAUGGGGAGCUCUCCGGAUAACUCUGCACCCUGCCAGAAAGCACUCUAUUAUGCUGUGAUUUUUUUGGGGGAGUUCUGGACAAGUGGACCUGUGUGACCCUGACCUAACUAAAAGAGAACAAAGAAAUAGACUGUACUGAAACCCUGGCUGAGGGUGCUGGGGAACUCUUCCCCUUUGGUGAGAUUCUCCCUGGAGUAUCAUCAACAUUUGUCCAGAUGCUGCUGGAGUCUGCGCCUGGAUACCAAGGAUCUUUUCCUUCCCAUUGCUUCCAAGCUGCUGAGCCAUGAUUUCUUCCUUGUCUCUCCAGUUGGCAGCACAUCUCUUUACAGUAGAUUGCUCUUCAGUUCACAGAUAUCAUAUCGUUCUCCCAACGAAAUAAGUCAAGCAAUCAGAGACUGUGGCUAAUACUGAAAAACUCUAUCUACAGAUGCUUGUUUCAGAACCAAUCAAACAUUGUUAUAUACUUUCUGAGACAAAAAUCUUUGUGAGACAAAUGAAUUCCAUGCACAGGCCAAUGGCCCAUUUCUUUGGAACAAUACUCUAAGCACAGGAAAAUUCUAAUUAAAAAAAAAAAAACUAAAAC
ensembl:lincRNA 4930423M02Rik RIKEN cDNA 4930423M02 gene